rnacentral:rRNA from 1 species
CCCUACGGGGCGCAGCAGUAGGGAAUCUUCCACAAUGGACGAAAGUCUGAUGGAGCAACGCCGCGUGAGUGAAGAAGGGUUUCGGCUCGUAAAGCUCUGUUGGUAGUGAAGAAAGAUAGAGGUAGUAACUGGCCUUUAUUUGACGGUAAUUACUUAGAAAGUCACGGUUAACUACGUGCCAGCAGCCGCGGUAAUACGUAGGUGGCAAGCGUUGUCCGGAUUUAUUGGGCGUAAAGCGAGCGCAGGCGGUUCAAUUAGGCU